rnacentral:rRNA from 1 species
AGAGUUUGAUCAUGGCUCAGAUUGAACGCUGGCGGCAGGCCUAACACAUGCAAGUCGAGCGGUAGCACAGAGAGCUUGCUCUCGGGUGACGAGCGGCGGACGGGUGAGUAAUGUCUGGGAAACUGCCUGAUGGAGGGGGAUAACUACUGGAAACGGUAGCUAAUACCGCAUAACGUCGCAAGACCAAAGUGGGGGACCUUCGGGCCUCAUGCCAUCAGAUGUGCCCAGAUGGGAUUAGCUAGUAGGUGGGGUAACGGCUCACCUAGGCGACGAUCCCUAGCUGGUCUGAGAGGAUGACCAGCCACACUGGAACUGAGACACGGUCCAGACUCCUACGGGAGGCAGCAGUGGGGAAUAUUGCACAAUGGGCGCAAGCCUGAUGCAGCCAUGCCGCGUGUGUGAAGAAGGCCUUCGGGUUGUAAAGCACUUUCAGCGGGGAGGAAGGCGGUGAGGUUAAUAACCUCAUCGAUUGACGUUACCCGCAGAAGAAGCACCGGCUAACUCCGUGCCAGCAGCCGCGGUAAUACGGAGGGUGCAAGCGUUAAUCGGAAUUACUGGGCGUAAAGCGCACGCAGGCGGUCUGUCAAGUCGGAUGUGAAAUCCCCGGGCUCAACCUGGGAACUGCAUUCGAAACUGGCAGGCUAGAGUCUUGUAGAGGGGGGUAGAAUUCCAGGUGUAGCGGUGAAAUGCGUAGAGAUCUGGAGGAAUACCGGUGGCGAAGGCGGCCCCCUGGACAAAGACUGACGCUCAGGUGCGAAAGCGUGGGGAGCAAACAGGAUUAGAUACCCUGGUAGUCCACGCCGUAAACGAUGUCGAUUUGGAGGUUGUGCCCUUGAGGCGUGGCUUCCGGAGCUAACGCGUUAAAUCGACCGCCUGGGGAGUACGGCCGCAAGGUUAAAACUCAAAUGAAUUGACGGGGGCCCGCACAAGCGGUGGAGCAUGUGGUUUAAUUCGAUGCAACGCGAAGAACCUUACCUGGUCUUGACAUCCACAGAACUUUCCAGAGAUGGAUUGGUGCCUUCGGGAACUGUGAGACAGGUGCUGCAUGGCUGUCGUCAGCUCGUGUUGUGAAAUGUUGGGUUAAGUCCCGCAACGAGCGCAACCCUUAUCCUUUGUUGCCAGCGGUCCGGCCGGGAACUCAAAGGAGACUGCCAGUGAUAAACUGGAGGAAGGUGGGGAUGACGUCAAGUCAUCAUGGCCCUUACGACCAGGGCUACACACGUGCUACAAUGGCAUAUACAAAGAGAAGCGACCUCGCGAGAGCAAGCGGACCUCAUAAAGUAUGUCGUAGUCCGGAUUGGAGUCUGCAACUCGACUCCAUGAAGUCGGAAUCGCUAGUAAUCGUAGAUCAGAAUGCUACGGUGAAUACGUUCCCGGGCCUUGUACACACCGCCCGUCACACCAUGGGAGUGGGUUGCAAAAGAAGUAGGUUGCUUAACCUUCGGGAGGGCGCUUACCACUUUGUGAUUCAUGACUGGGGUGAAGUCGUAACAAGGUAACCGUAGGGGAACCUGCGGUUGGAUCACCU